AUUCCAUCUUGGAGUAGAUUACGUCCUCUAUCUGAGGACUAUAUAUUAAAUGGAUUUUUGAAACAGGGAGAUGGAAUAGGACCUUUCUCCAUCCACUCCACGCAUCGACCUGGUAUUGCAGUACCUCCAGGAAUGGUGCACCUCCC
rnacentral:snRNA from 1 species